rnacentral:rRNA from 1 species
UACGUAGGUCCCGAGCGUUAUCCGGAUUUAUUGGGCGUAAAGCGAGCGCAGGCGGUUGGAUAAGUCUGAAGUUAAAGGCUGUGGCUCAACCAUAGUAUGCUUUGGAAACUGUUCAACUUGAGUGCAGAAGGGGAGAGUGGAAUUCCAUGUGUAGCGGUGGAAUGCGUAGAUAUGUGGAGGAACACCGGUGGCGAAAGCGGCUCUCUGGUCUGUAACUGACGCUGAGGCUCGAAAGCGUGGGUAGCGAACAGG